rnacentral:rRNA from 1 species
CUGGCUCAGGACGAACGCUGGCGGCGUGCCUAACACAUGCAAGUCGAGCGGGGACAUGCGACGGAUCGAAAGUUUCGGACGGACGAGAGAUGUAUGUUCUAGCGGCGGACGGGUGAGUAACGCGUGAGCAACCUGUCCUUCACAGGGGGAUAACACAGCGAAAGUUGUACUAAUACCGCAUAAGACCACACCGGGGCAUCCCGGAGGGGUCAAAGGAGCAAUCCGGUGAAGGGUGGGCUCGCGUCCGAUUAGAUAGUUGGUGGGGUAACGGCCUACCAAGUCGACGAUCGGUAGCCGACCUGAGAGGGUGAUCGGCCACAUUGGGACUGAGACACGGCCCAAACUCCUACGGGAGGCAGCAGUGGGGAAUAUUGGGCAAAUGGGGGAAACCCUGACCCAGCAACGCCGCGUGAGGGAAGAAGGCUUUCGGGUUGUAAACCCCUGUUAUCAGGGACGAAAAUGACGGUACCUGAGGAGGAAGCUCCGGCUAACUACGUGCCAGCCGCCGC